GUACACUUCAUCAAGUCUAGCAGCAGACCCUCCCUCCCAGACCCUCCCACCUCCUGGACAGCAUCCAUUGUGAAGCUGCAUUCUUAGUGAGCUGUCCAGGAGGUGGGAGGGUCUGGGAGGGAGGGUCUGCUGCUGAUUGGCUGGAAUG